GGGGGUUUAGCUCAGUGGUAGAGCGCUUGCCUAGGAAGCGCAAGGUCCUGGGUUCGGUCCCCAGCUCCG
rnacentral:tRNA from 1 species